GUGACUGGUGACAGAGUGAGGGAGUGGGUGACUAGUGACAGAGGGAGGGAGAUAGGGGUGACUAGUGACAGAGUGAGGGAAUGGGUGACUAGUGGCAGAGUGAGGGAGGGAAGAGAUGACUAGUGGCAAAGUGAGGGAGGGAAGGGGUGACUAGUGACAGAGUGAGGGGGGGUGACUGUCACUAGUCACCCCAUCCCUCUCUCUGUCACUAGUCACUCCCUCCCUAACUCUGUCACUGUGUCACCCGCUCCCUCACUCUCACUGUCACUCCCUCUCUCUGUCACUAGUCACCCCAUCCCUCUCUCUGUCACUAGUGUCAC
rnacentral:sRNA from 1 species